rnacentral:rRNA from 1 species
UACGUAGGUGGCAAGCGUUAUCCGGAUUUAUUGGGCGUAAAGGGAACGCAGGCGGUCUUUUAAGUCUGAUGUGAAAGCCUUCGGCUUAACCGGAGUAGUGCAUUGGAAACUGGGAGACUUGAGUGCAGAAGAGGAGAGUGGAACUCCAUGUGUAGCGGUGAAAUGCGUAGAUAUAUGGAAGAACACCAGUGGCGAAGGCGGCCUGCUGGACUGCAACUGACGUUGAGGCUCGAAGGCGUGGGGAGCAAACAGG